CCUACGGGGGGCAGCAGUGAGGAAUAUUGGUCAAUGGCCGGAAGGCUGAACCAGCCAAGCCGCGUGAGGGAGGAAGGCGCAGAGCGUCGCAGACCUCUUUUGCCGGGGGACAAAAGGCCGGACUCGUCCGGUCCUGAGGGUACCCGGAGAAAAAGCAUCGGCUAACUCCGUGCCAGCAGCCGCGGUAAUACGUAGGUGGCAAGCGUUAUCCGGAUUUAUUGGGCGUAAAGGGAACGCAGGCGGUCUUUUAAGUCUGAUGUGAAAGCCUUCGGCUUAACCGGAGUAGUGCAUUGGAAACUGGGAGG
rnacentral:rRNA from 1 species